rnacentral:rRNA from 1 species
UACGAAGGGGGCUAGCGUUGUUCGGAAUCACUGGGCGUAAAGCGCACGUAGGCGGACUUUCAAGUCAGGGGUGAAAUCCCGGAGCUCAACUUCGGAAUUGCCUUUGAUACUGUAGGUCUCGAGUCCGGAAGAGGUGGGUGGAAUUCCUAGUGUAGAGGUGAAAUUCGUAGAUAUUGGGAAGAACACCAGUGGCGAAGGCGGCUAACUGGUCCAGAUCUGACGCUGAGGUGCGAAAGCGUGGGGAGCAAACAGG